GGGUGGUGGCAGGGGUUGUGGGUGGUAGGGGAGCGUCCUGCACCGGGGGAAGCCUGUGGGUGACUGCUGGUGGACGGUGUGGGAGUGAGAAUGCAGGCAUGAGUAGCGAUACUAGGGUGAGAAGCCCUAGCGCCGAAUGACCAAGGGUUCCAGGGCCAGGCUAGUCCGCCCUGGGUGAGUCGGGACCUAAGGCGAGGCCGACAGGCGUAGUCGAUGGAUGACGGGUUGAUAUUCCCGUACCGGCGAAGCACCGCCCAUGCUGACGUGCGGGUGCUAACCCACGCCUUGCCGCCAUGUUAGCCGCGCCUGUCGGGUUCGCCUGACGGUGUGGUUGUGGUGGUGGGGUCUGGGGGUCCUCCGUGCAGGUAGGCAAGCGUGUUAACAGGGGUGACGCACAGUGGUAGCCCGGCGGACCUGGUGGCUUGGUCCGUUCAAGCGCGCAGCCCGUCCUCCAGGUAAAUCCGGGGGGCAGCCCAUUAGGUUGGGUGGGGGUGAGGCGUGAUGGUGACCCUGCUUCUGGUGGGGGAUAACAGGGUGAUCCUGGGGUGCCGAGAAAAGCCUCGACGCGAUGGUGCUAGCCGCCCGUACCCUAAACCGACACAGGUGGUCGGGCAGAGUAUGCCUAGGCGCACGAGUGAAUCAUGGUUAAGGAACUCGGCAAAAUGCCCCCGUAACUUCGGGAGAAGGGGGGCCUGAACCUUGAAGCCCCAUCGCGGGCUAGGGGGGAGGGUCGCAGAGGCCAGGGGGAAGCGACUGUUUACUAAAAACACAGGUCUGUGCGAAGCUGUAAGGCGAUGUAUACGGACUGACGCCUGCCCGGUGCUGGAAGGUUAAGAGGAACCAUCAACCCUUUGGGUGAAGUGGUGAAUUUAAGCCCCAGUAAACGGCGGUGGUAACUAUAACCAUCCUAAGGUAGCGAAAUUCCUUGUCGGGUAAGUUCCGACCUGCACGAAUGGCGUAACGACUUCCCCGCUGUCUCAACCAUGAGCUCGGCGAAAUUGCAGUACGAGUAAAGAUGCUCGUUUCGCGCAGAAGGACGGAAAGACCCCGGGACCUUUACUAUAGCUUGGUAUUGGCGCCCGCUAUAGCUUGUGCAGGAUAGGUGGGAGACUGUGAAGCUGUCACGCUAGUGGUGGUGGAGUCGUCGUUGAAAUACCACUCUGGUUAUGGCGUGCGCCUGAACCUGGGCCCGUGAUCCGGGUUAGGGACAGUGCCUGGUGGGUAGUUUAACUGGGGCGGUUGCCUCCUAAAGUGUAACGGAGGCGCUCAAAGGUUCCCUCGGCCUGGUCGGUAACCAGGUGUUGAGUGUAAGUGCACAAGGGAGCUUGACUGUGAGACUGACGGGUCGAGCAGGUACGAAAGUAGGAACUAGUGAUCCGGCGAUCCCGUGUGGGUGGGUCGUCGCUCAACGGAUAAAAGGUACCCCGGGGAUAACAGGCUGAUCCUGCCCAAGAGUCCAUAUCGACGGCAUGGUUUGGCACCUCGAUGUCGGCUCGUCGCAUCCUGGGGCUGGAGCAGGUCCCAAGGGUUGGGCUGUUCGCCCAUUAAAGCGGUACGCGAGCUGGGUUUAGAACGUCGUGAGACAGUUCGGUCCCUAUCCUCUGCGCGCGUUGGAGACUUGAGGAGGCCUGUCCCUAGUACGAGAGGACCGGGACGGACGAACCUCUGGUGUGCCAGUUGUCCUGCCUGGGGCACGGCUGGUUGGCUACGUUCGGGAAGGGUAACCGCUGAAAGCAUCUAAGCGGGAAACCAUCUUCAAGAUGAGGUCUCC
rnacentral:rRNA from 1 species